CUUGGCUACAUUCUUUUCUCUCGCCACCUAGCCCCUCUUCUCUUCCAGGUUUCCAAAAUGCCUUUCCAGGCUAGAACCCAGGUUGUGGUCUGCUGGCCGGACACAACAAUUGGCGAACCAACGCGGGACUGAGAAACGGCAAAGGAUUUUUGGAAGAGACGCUGCUGGUUCGGAGCUCCAUAAAAUAAAGGAUAAGGGAAAUUCAUACCGGAGAAGUGCUCUUCAGGACUAUGACCAAGCAGUGACAGGCUGAGGCUACCAUCCUGUCAUUAGAAGAGAUGGUGGAGUUGGAAGAGAAAGCGCUGAAUUUCCACUCCUGCAUGCACAGGGUUUUGCUGUGUAACCAAAGCUGCCUUCACACUCUCAUAAGCCAGGCUGCCUUGAAUUCAGAGGUCCUCUUGCAUCAGCAUCCCAGAGGCUUAAGACAUACACUGGCUUCUAACAAACUGAAAAAAAAAAUCCACGUGCCGGGAAGGGAGCUCACUGCACACCACAGGGCCCUUAGAAACCGAAGCACAAGGCGACGCAUGGGAAACUUCAAACAGGCAGCUUCAAGAUAGACUUAAUUUUUCAUGAUUCUCCCAAAGCCAGU
rnacentral:lncRNA from 1 species